UGUGUGUGUGUGUGUGUGUGUCGGAACUCGUGGAAUACAACUUAAUGCACAUAUGCAAAGAAUAAAUCCUCCUUUGCGAUCAGCACUCACUGCUUCGUGUGAGUCUUGAUACGUGUGAGAAGGGGUGUU